AACACAAGACACCCCUCACUUUCCCUCUCCAUAUCUUCUCACUCCAUCUUCUCAUUUCUCUCCUUCCUCUCCUUAACUCAGGAACAAGGCUUUAGGGGUUCUAUUGUUCAUAUUAUCCUUUUUCGUUAUAGGGUGUUGAGAAAUUGUUGAGUAUGUAUCGACUCAUUUUCAUCUAUUUGAUUUCCGGUGAGUUUCUUCCCUCCCUCGAUUCCACUACGUAUUGGAGGAGUUAUCGGCCGACAUUCCCUUCUCUCUCGACUUCAUUACAUCGUCUACAUGUUUCUUUACCCCACCUACUAUUCUAUAUCUCUCUCAUCAAUGUUCGCUUUCUUUCUUCCGUUCUUCCUAAACAUUAAUGGAGAAGAAUUUGAAGGUCUUCAUUCCUUCAACAGAUGUAUAGAAGACUUUGAUGGUAUUGAAGGUUUAAUAGAAGAUGUAAUUUCGUCCUCAAUUUAAGAAGCAGAUUAUGUUGUUUGAGGCUUGAUGGGCAUUUCAGUCCUUUUCAGAAAUUAAGGAUGUUUACAAUUUUUUUGGAGCGUGCUGCUUUUGUAGUUAUUAUCCAGAUGGUAGCAUCUUUUCUGGAAGGAGUGCUUAUGGCUAUAAGUUGCACUGCAGUGCGAAAGUUAGCGUCAAACCGUAUUGCUUGUGGUUUAUUCUUAUCAUCCAACCUUGUAACAAUGGAUAAAUUGCAUCAUUUGGUACUUGAAGCUGGAUUUGAAGAUGUUUUUUUUGUUAAAUUUUGGAAAUUUUUUUGCCAAAUAAGAAUCAUGAAGAUGUGGAAUUUUGGAUUCGGUUGAUUCAGAAAAAAAAAAUUGGUAGCAUUUCAUAGAGAAAAUGUAGUAACAGGAAAACUGACGUUCAAUGACAAGGUAUGUUCUAAACUAUACAAAUAAUAUGUGUAGAUUGUAAUAAAUACCAUAUUCUUAUGUAAAGACUACGAAUUGAGUCAGGAGACUACUUUGGCUACACUUGGGAUUUUUGCAUUUAUGGGAAGAGAAACAAGAUUAUUCUUUUUUAGAAAUGAACAUAAAGGAUCUUGAUGAUCAUACCAAGGAUUUCCUCAGGUCAUUUGGUCAAUUGGUUAAACAUAUAUUUUUAAAUAAUUAAAUAAAAUCUGAAAGGUUUUCACAAAUUGUAGUUACUUGGAGUGUGGUAGCCUAUAUAUUUAUCCUGAAUUUAGCUCCCUACCUGAGUACAAGCUCUUCAUUAUGGUCAGAUGAUUUAUGAUAUUAAAUGAUGCUGAUUUAUUUAUUUAUAUUAUAAUUACAAUUACAAUUUACAGGUGGUUAUAGAGGAAAAUGGAUGGCUUGAUUUUUAUUUGCCACUUAGAUUAAAAUUCCAUCAUGAUGGAAGAAGAUCAAGACAAGAAGUUAUCCAAGCGGAAAAAGAGAUUAUUAUUUAUACUGUUCUUACUACUCGCUAUGAUGUUGUUUCUGGAUAUGCUCAUUAUAUCGGUUUUUCCUAAAAACCCAUGGACGCCAAUCUGUUUCGAAGAGAGAGUUUUGUCUAAGUCAACACCGUCUGUUCCAAGUAAUAAAGGGACAACAAAGUUGUCUGCAUUAUUGGAAGCUCAACAAAAUCCGAUUGACAUGAUUGAUGAAAAGGAGAAAUGAUGAACAUGGAUCUUCAAUUAAAAAUGUAUGCAUUACAUCACAAAACAAGAUGGUCGUGUACUGUGAUUGUACUGGAAUCGAGACAUAGACUGAUGUCAGCUGGACAAAAGUUUCAAUUUUUUGUCUCGCCCAAGAUUUUGAAACAAGAUGAGACACGGGUUCACCCCUUCUCCCCAUCUGUUAUGUAAAAGACGUCAAUGUCAUUCUUAUGUUCAUCAUUAAAAAUGCCUUACAAAACUUAUCCAACCUUGUUAGUGGGAAUAUUAAUAAUAUUUUAUACAACUGACAAGUUUUUCAAAAAUAUAAUCUGGUUUUUGCAA